rnacentral:lncRNA from 1 species
CUUUUAAAAGCUUUGGGUUGGUGAAAGCAUGCAUUCUCACAUUGUUCAUGUGUUCUUAGCAGCAAGUUAGCUGAUGUGAUUUAGACAAGCUUGGGCUCAAUAGUUCAAAGGUUUGGAAUACUCACAACUUAAUUCAUAAGAUUCUUUUAUGUUCACCAAGCUGGAUACCCCCUACAGUUAGCGAAUGUGUUGUCGUUUUGAAAUUCCAAGGCUUGAUGUGUCAUCCAGCUGAAGUGUUAUGUCAUCAUCAAACUCUGUUAUCUUUUGGAGUCACGAUGAAUUUCAGGUCAGCUGUUCCAUAACAAGUUAUUUUAUGGGAACAGAACACAGAGGUACAGACAGAGAUAAUGAACAGCUGUGCCCAAUGCAUGAGUAGCUGUAGAAAAGUCCUUUUUUAGAUAUGAACCAGCAAAUGUUGCUAUCACUACCAUGCCCUGACAAGCGGGCUUGCUGCUGCUUGUACAACUAAACAAAUACUUGUCUGCAUGGGGCAUGGGGGAUUUACUCUGAAGCUAUGAUUUACUUUAAAACAAUGAUGCAAAAGUUUCAAAUUGCUUUGUUUGUCCCUCUUUGUGGUGUAGCUUCAAGCUCUGUGCAUCUGAGGAUUACUUGUUGUUGAAUGGGCCGGAGGAGGUGCCUGGAAAUCUCAUGUCUUGUGUCUGGGGACAGGAAGGGGGUUUCUUUCCUGACAUUGUUACCUGUCUCCUCUUUGGAUGCCAUUUCCAAAUCAUAAAAGAUUUUGUUGGGCAAGAUAGCCCUCUACAUCCUGCUGCUGAUACUUGAAUAUUGUGUGGCUUGUGUGACUGCCUUGAGCAUGUUACUACAGGACAGCUAUAGUUUUACAAGGUAAACACUGUGGCACAGAGCAGUUUAAUCAGCGGAGAGCAGAAAACAAGGAGGAAAACAAGACAGAGACAGCUUGAGGAGGUUGCUCAGGAAAUGUCAGUUUGUGCUGAACAGUUUCUGGGACUGAAGAAGCAGUAUGGGCUGCCAACAAGCAGUGGUUGUAAAGUAUGAAGAUCACAGACGUACCUUCACCACUGCAUGUGCUGAGCCACUCUGCUCUUCCAGUAAAGUGUUACAGUCCUCACUGAGAAGUUUACAACUCCCUCAUCCUGCCAGUCAGUUAUUGACUGCAUAUAGACAUCAUCUAGUGAAGCUACGGUAAUGGAAAGCAUUGACAUCGUUGAGGAGCCAUGUUAGUUGCAUGACGUAAGGCCUGUGAUGCUUUUUGGAGCCUUUUAUUACAUACUGGGUAUUUCCGUACAUUUUUGUCUGCAAGCAGAAGUUGCAUUCUGGCUAUUUAUAUUUGGACACAAUCUCGGCUACACACGUGUUACUCUAGGAAUCACCUUGUUAGAAUUUUCAGUAUUCUGAGCUGUUUUCCUUAAUGAAAUGUGGACAGUGAUGGCAUCGGCAUUCCUUUUUAAGCUGAGAUGCUGCUAGACGUUUGGGCCCUAGAAGUUACCUGUUUUAUUUGUUGCCUGAGUAGCUACAGGGUGACAGAGAAAUGUGCAUUUAAACAAGUGAAAGGAAAAUGAAGACACCAAGCACAGUGCUUGUAGUUACUGUGAAUUACCCAAAUGCUGUUUUUGACAGAAAGACAGCAAUGGUGAUAGCAAGCACUGGGAGGCAAAUGAGAUGCUUUGCUGGUUUUCUGAGUUGACCCUUGGAAGGCUGUGUCUGCUACAGGUGCCUUGUAUCGAGGAAAAGCAUAAAGAUUUUAAUCUCCUGCUUUAGGGAUGCUGUUUUAUAUGCACCAGUGCUCAUAGGAAAUGUAAAAGGUAAUUUAAACUAUUGUGAGAGGAGGGUGAAAAGACCGUGAUCGAUUUGCAAUAUCUUAUGUGAUUUCAUGAAUUUGAAAUAGCUUUAUUCUUUAGCUGUUAGUUCUGCAGAAUCUCCUGGCAGUGUCUGUGCUUGAAGGCUUUUGUGUAUUUCACAAAAACUCAUUUGUUUGUCAAAUUGGAGAAAAUAAAGCUAGCAUAACUCCUAGUGUUGCCGCUAUGUCUUUGUUAUAGCACAGAUGAAGUGGAUGGGGAAGAAAAACAAAAAUGAAUAGCUUUUAAAAACGUUGAACCGUGCAAUCAGAAAAAAAAAAAGAAUUAUUGGGGGUUUUAGCACUUCUCUUGGGGGCUGCUGAUGUAAUAUGAGGAGCUAGCACAGUGAAUGGUGUUGUAACCCCAGGUUUGGUGUUAAGGGAACACUUGUUCAUUGCCAGGGUGCAAGUAGCACUGUCUGUGGUGGGAGGGAGACUGAGGGAGUGCCUAACUGAAAAAUGGGUAAAAUCCUUUUGCAAGUAAAGUGGAGGGGCCAUGGUAGCUCAUAGUCCAUUGGUAUAACGGUGGAAUUUUUAAGACUUGUGUAAUGAAAAGCUGACUCUGGAGUUCCAAAAGAUGUUAUGAACUUCAUCUAUCUUUGCCAUGCCAAUGCUUUGUCUUUCCAGCUUUCUGACUCGGAGUUAGUUUUUAGUAUCCUAAUCCUACUUACAUCUCAAACUACACUUAAUAUACUAAGUGAGACUGUACGUGCACAGAAGGUGGCAAUCCCUCUUAACAUUAGGGUCCAGGUACAGUGACUGUCUCUGAAUUUCCAUCUCACAUCCCUGCUCUGACACUGCAGUUCCUUUCUGUUAGACAAAGAUAUGUGGUGGUAAUGGUACUUGACACUAAUAACUGGUGGGUUGUCUGUGUGGCUGGAAUAUCACAAAAGUAGUAGAGAUGAGAAGAACAUGGAUGAAUACAAUUCUGGUAAAACUCUCUUGUUCCAAAUUUCCUUUUGAUUCAAAGAGUAUGAGAUGUAAAGACUUAAUUGUGUUCUAAGAAAAGCAGACCUGGCUCUCGAUGCAAUUGACUUGAAAUUUUACAAAUGUUUUUGUGCAGACAAGGCCUAAAUUUUAUUGGAAGCUUUUUGAAAAAUACUGGUAAUUAAGAUCAUA